rnacentral:rRNA from 1 species
GAUGAACGCUGGCGGUAUGCUUAACACAUGCAAGUCGAACGGACUCUUCGGAGUUAGUGGCGGACGGGUGUGUAACGCGUGAGAAUCUGGCUUUGGGUUCGGGACAACCACUGGAAACGGUGGCUAAUACCGGAUGUGCCGAGAGGUAAAAGAGAAAUUGCCUGAAGAUGAGCUCGCGUCUGAUUAGCUAGUUGGUGAGGUAAAGACUCACCAAGGCAGCGAUCAGUAGCUGAUCUGAGAGGAUGACCAGCCACACUGGGACUGAGACACGGCCCAGACUCCUACGGGAGGCAGCAGUGGGGAAUGAUCCGCAAUGGGCGAAAGCCUGACGGAGCAAUACCGCGUGAGGGAAGAAGGCUCUUGGGUUGUAAACCUCUUUUCGUAGGGAAGAACAAAAUGACGGUACCUAAGGAAUCAGCAUCGGCUAACUCCGUG